rnacentral:SRP_RNA from 1 species
GCCAGGUGUGGUGGCUCACACCUGUAAUCCCAACACUUUGGGAGGCUGAGGCAGGUGGAUCACCUGAGGCCAGGAGUUCAAGACCAGCCUGGCCAACAUGGUGAAACCCCAUCUCUU